AUGAUGAAGAUGAAAGCCAUGUCUGCAAUGAUGCUUGCUCUAGUGCUUAUGGUUGAGGCUGUUUCCAUUGCUCAGGCUGCAAACUGUGAUCCAAUGCAAUUGAGCCCAUGUCUAGGGGCAAUCAUGUCAAACACAUCACCUUCUCCUGGUUGUUGCAGCAGAUUGAAUGAUCAAAAGCCAUGCCUAUGUGAAUACGCUAGAAACCCUAACUUUAAACAGUAUGUUAACUCUCCUGGUUCUAGAAAUGUUGCUAGAUCUUGUGGUGUUACCAUUCCAAACUGCUAA